rnacentral:lncRNA from 1 species
GGAGGCGGGGAAAGAGGAGGAGAACCUGCCGCUCCGGAGGGACGGGGCUGCAGGCAGUCAGCCCAGCGGUGGGGCUGCGGGCACAUGCCGGGAUUGGAGAGUCGGAGGCCGGAGUUCCCCGCAGCUCCGUCGGACCCGCUGCCGAACCGUCCCCUGCGGGAGCGUCCGCGGGGCUGCGGAGGGGAGAGGCGCUCACCUCCGGCUCCGCUCCCGGAGCGCGCCGAGCCGAGAGAGAGCGGACCGCGGGUCCACAUCAUGGGGGAUGUGAAACUGGUGACAUCUACUCGAGUAUCCAAAACCUCCCUGACACUCAGCCCCUCGGUUCCUGCUGCCCUGCUGAAGCACCAGCAUUUACUCUUCCUCCUCGGAAUAUCCGAGUGCAACUGGGAGCCACAGCAAGAUUUGAGGGGAAGGUCAGAGGCUACCCUGAGCCACAGAUCACAUGGUACAGAAAUGGACAUCCUCUCCCAGAAGGUGACCGUUAUGCUGUGGACCACAGCAUUCGAGGGAUAUUCAGCUUGGUAA